CCUUAUUCAAGGUAAAAACAAUACAACUCAUCCAACUUUUUUUUUGUGCCUUAGGGCAUCAUCCCGAAAACCCUUUUUUCAAAGGUAAAAUCAACCAACACACAAAUAUUUUCUACUCCGAACUACGGAGCUCUGAUUCCUCAUCCCCGAAUGAGUGAUACAUAGGCACAAGGGCCACAAUCCUUGGCGAGCACUAUAAUAACAAAAACAC
rnacentral:lncRNA from 1 species